rnacentral:tRNA from 2 species
GGCCCCGUAGCUCAGUGGAUAGAGCAUUGGUUUCCUAAACCAUGCGCCCCGGUUCGAGUCCGGGCGGGGCUGCCA